ensembl:rRNA 5S_rRNA 5S ribosomal RNA
CUCAGUGGCCAUGCUGGACUGAAUGCACCUGAUUUUGGAUGUGCAACAGUCUUAAUCUUUUCUACUACCUGGAUGGGAGACCACCUUGCAAUCCCUGGUGCAGUAGAAA